GAUGAAGAACGUAGCGAAAUGCGAUAAGUAGUGUGAAUUGCAGAAUUCAGUGAAUCAUCGAAUCUUUGAACGCACAUUGCGCCCUUUGGUAUUCCUUAGGGCAUGCCUGUUCGAGCGUCAUUUAAACCUUCAAGCUAAGCUUGGUGUUGGGUGACUGUCCGCUACACGGCGGACUCGCCUCAAAAUUAUUGGCGGCCGGUACAUUGGCUUCGAGCGCAGCAGAAACGCGAACUCGGGCCCGUCGUAUUGGCUCCCAGAAGCUAUCUUCACAAUUUUGACCUCGGAUCAGGUAGGGAUACCCGCUGAACUUAAGCAUAUCAAUAAGCGGAGGA
rnacentral:misc_RNA from 1 species